rnacentral:misc_RNA from 1 species
UUUCCGUAGGUGAACCUGCGGAAGGAUCAUUAAAAGAGAUGGGGUCCUUCGGGGCCCGACCUCCCACCCUCUGUCGUCGAACAAAUUCGUUGCUUUGGCGGUGCCGUCCGACCGCUCUCCGUGCGAGAGCGCCGGCCGCCGGGUCCUCGCGAUCGGGUGCGCGCCCGCCAGAGUCCGUCCACAACACUUCUCACCGAACGAUCGUCCGAGUACAAAGAUUUAAAAUCAAAUCAAAACUUUCAACAACGGAUCUCUUGGUUCUGGCAUCGAUGAAGAACGCAGC